rnacentral:tRNA from 1 species
GGGGCUGUAGCUCAGUGGUAGAGCACUUGCCUUGCAGGUGUGAGGCCCUAGGUUCAAUCCUCAGCGCCA